rnacentral:rRNA from 1 species
AACGAACGCUGGCGGCAUGCCUAACACAUGCAAGUCGAACGAGACCUUCGGGUCUAGUGGCGCACGGGUGCGUCACGCGUGGGAACCUGCCCUUAGGUUCGGAAUAACUCCCCGAAAGGGGUGCUAAUACCGGAUAAUGUCUUCGGACCAAAGAUUUAUCGCCUUUGGAUGGGCCCGCGUUGGAUUAGCUAGUUGGUAGGGUAAAAGCCUACCAAGGCGACGAUCCAUAGCUGGUCUGAGAGGAUGAUCAGCCACACUGGGACUGAGACACGGCCCAGACUCCUACGGGAGGCAGCAGUGGGGAAUAUUGGACAAUGGGGGAAAGCCUGAUCCAGCAAUGCCGCGUGAGUGAUGAAGGCCUUAGGGUUGUAAAGCUCUUUUACCCGGGAUGAUAAUGACAGUACCGGGAGAAUAAGCUCCGGCUAACUCCGUG